UUUUUUUUGCGCGCCUUGGGCAAACAAUACUCUCAAAGUUUGACCUCAAAUCAGGUAGGAAUACCCGCUGAACUUAAGCAUAUCAAUAAGCGGAGGAAAAGAAACCAACCGGGAUUGCCUUAGUAACGGCGAGUGAAGCGGCAAAAGCUCAAAUUUGAAAUCUGGUACCUUCGGUGCCCGAGUUGUAAUUUGUAGAAGGCGACUCUGGGGCUGGUCCUUGUCUAUGUUCCUUGGAACAGGACGUCAUGGAGGGUGAGAAUCCCGUAUGGCGAGGAUCCCAGUUCUUUGUAGAGUGCCUUCGAAGAGUCGAGUUGUUUGGGAAUGCAGCUCUAAGUGGGUGGUAAAUUCCAUCUAAAGCUAAAUAUUGGCGAGAGACCGAUAGCGAACAAGUACAGUGAUGGAAAGAUGAAAAGAACUUUGAAAAGAGAGUGAAAAAGUACGUGAAAUUGUUGAAAGGGAAGGGCAUUUGAUCAGACAUGGUGUUUUGCGCCCCUCGCCUCUCGUGGGUGGGGGAAUCUCGCAGUUCACUGGGCCAGCAUCAGUUUUGGCGGCAGGAUAAAUCCCUGGGAAUGUAGCUCUACCACUUCGUGGCGGACGAACUUAUAGUCCAGGGGAAUACUGCCAGCUGGGACUGAGGAAUGCGACUUUUAGUCAAGGAUGCUGGCAUAAUGGUUAUAUGCCGCCCGUCUUGAAACACGGACCAAGGAGUCUAACGUCUAUGCAAGUGUUUGGGUGUGAAACCCGUACGCGUAAUGA
rnacentral:rRNA from 1 species